UCCGAGUUGACCCCGGCAGUCUCCUGCGAGUCCCCGCCAUUACGCGCUGGCAACACAGGACAAGGGUUGCGCUCGUUGCGGGACUUAACCCAACAUCUCACGACACGAGCUGACGACAGCCAUGCACCACCUGUAUACCGACCACAAGGGGGGCCGUAUCUCUACGGCUUUCCGGUAUAUGUCAAACCCAGGUAAGGUGGGGAUGACGUGUCGUUACCUUA
rnacentral:misc_RNA from 1 species